GACGAACGCUGGCGGCGUGCUUAACACAUGCAAGUCGAACGAAGUGGCGAACGGGUGAGUAACGCGUAAUCAACCUGCCCUUCCGAGGGGGACAACAGUUGGAAACGACUGCUAAUACCGCAUACUGAAGGAGGGGCUUGCGUCUGAUUAGCUAGUCGGAGGGGUAACGGCCCACCAAGGCGAUGAUCAGUAGCCGGUCUGAGAGGAUGAACGGCCCCAUUGGGACUGAGAAACGGCCCAGACUCCUACGGGAGGCAGCAGUGGGGAAUCUUCCGCAAUGGACGAAAGUCUGACGGAGCAACGCCGCGUGAGUGAUGACGGCCUUCGGGUUGGAAAGCUCUGUUAAGCGGGACGCGGUACCGGAAUAGAAAGCCACGGCUAACUACGUGCCAGCAGCCGCGGUAAUUC
rnacentral:rRNA from 1 species